rnacentral:rRNA from 1 species
CAGUAGCCGCGGUAAUGCGUAGGGUGCGAGCGUUAAUCGGAAUUACUGGGCGUAAAGCGUGCGCAGGCGGUUCGUUAAGACAGAUGUGAAAUCCCCGGGCUUAACCUAGGAAUUGCAUUUGAUACUGUUUGGCUUGAGUUCGGGAGAGGUGAGUGGAAUUCCCAGUGUAGAGGUGAAAUUCGUAGAUAUUGGGAAGAACACCGGUGGAGAAGGCGGCGACCUGGUCCUUGACUGACGCUGAGGCGCGAAAGCGCGGGGAGCAAACAGGAUUAGAUACCCCCGUAGUCCCUGUCUCUUAUAC